CAAGGGGUAGUUUAAGUAAAAUAUUAAUUUUGGGGAUUAAUGAUGAGAAAUUUUCUUCCCUUUGA
rnacentral:tRNA from 1 species